CAGUCGCCGCGGGAAUACAGAGGAUGCAAGCGUUAUCCGGAGUGAUUGGGCGUAAAGCGUCUGUAGGUGGCUUUUCGAGUCCGCCGUCAAAUCCCAGGGCUCAACCCUGGACAGGCGGUGGAAACUACCAAGCUGGAGUACGAUAGGGGCAGAGGGAAUUUCCGGUGGAGCGGUGAAAUGCGUUGAGAUCGGAAAGAGCACCAACGGCGAAAGCACUCUGCUGGGCCGACACUGACACUGAGAGACGAAAGCUAUGGGAGCAAAUGGGAUUAGAUACCCCUGUAGUCCCUGUCUCUUAUAC
rnacentral:rRNA from 1 species